rnacentral:rRNA from 1 species
GUGGGGAAUCUUCCGCAAUGGACGAAAGUCUGACGGAGCAACGCCGCGUGAGUGAUGAAGGUCUUCGGAUUGUAAAGCUCUGUUAAUCGGGACGAAAGAGCCUAGUGUGAAUAAUGCUAGGAAGUGACGGUACCGGAAUAGAAAGCCACGGCUAACUACGUGCCAGCAGCCGCGGUAAUACGUAGGUGGCAAGCGUUGUCCGGAAUUAUUGGGCGUAAAGCGCGCGCAGGCGGAUCUGCCAGUCUGUCUUAAAAGUUCGGGGCUUAACCCCGUGAUGGGAUGGAAACUACAGAGCUAGAGUAUCGGAGAGGAAAGUGGAAUUCCAAGUGUAGCGGUGAAAUGCGUAGAGAUUUGGAAGAACACCAGUGGCGAAGGCGACUUUCUGGACGAUGUCUGACGCUGAGGCGCGAAAGCUAGGGGAGCGAACGGGAUUAGAAACCCCUGUAGUCC